AGCAAAGAUGGCUGACAAAACAUUACGGGGGAAGCUAAUGGCUAAAGACAUCCAUACUGAACCAGUGGCUGGAGGACGACUUUGAGUGGCCCGACAGGCCAACUACGAGUGGCGACUUGGUUGGUUCAAGUAGUACCACGGUCCUAACAGGUGUCCAGGGAGAGGUUUGAGACCAUCUACCAGUUCCUGGUGGGCUGAUAGGGACGCCAUACAAGACAUACAAACACCUGAACCGACCGACCUCUUCAGGGCAACGUUUUGCUUUGAGUGACCCUGGCAGCCAAUCAAAGGCGGAAAGAAGGACAGAAUGCGGCAUUUAAAGUGUAUUAUAUACUGUAUUUCUUUGUCGUCAAAAUUUGCAAAAAAUAGUCUAGCACUUUUGGAAUUUCUGAUGC